AGACGGCUCAGUAACACGUAGUCAAUCUAACCUAUGGACGGGGAUAACCUCGGGAAACUGAGAAUAAUACCCGACAGAUCAUUAUGCCUGGAAUGGUUUAUGGUUCAAAUGAAUUUCGCCAUAGGGUGGGACUGCGGUCUAUCAGCUUGUUGGUGAGGUAAUGGCCCACCAAGGCUAUAACAGAUACGGGCUCUGAGAGGAGAGGCCCGGAGAUGGGUACUGAGACACGGACCCAGGCCCUAUGGGGCGCAGCAGGCGAGAAAACCUUGCAAUGUGCGAAAGCACGACAAGGUUAAUCCGAGUGGUUCCUGCUAAAGGAAUCUUUCGUCAGUCAUAACACCACUGAUGAAUAAGGGGUGGGCAAGUUCUGGUGUCAGCCGCCGCGGUAAAACCAGCACCUCAAGUGGUCAGGAGGAUUAUUGGGCCUAAAGCAUCCGUAGCCGGCUCUGUAAGUUUUCGGUUAAAUCUAUGUGCUUAACAUAUGGGCUGCCGAGAAUACUGCAAAGCUAGGGAGUGGGAGAGGUAGACGGUACUCCGUAGGAAGGGGUAAAAUCCUUUGAUCUAUGGAUGACCACCUGUGGCGAAGGCGGUCUACCAGAACACGUCCGACGGUGAGGGAUGAAAGCUGGGGGAGCAAACCGGAUUAGAUACCCGGGUAGUCCCAGCUGUAAACGAUGCAAACUCAGUGAUGCAUUGGCUUGUGGCCAGUGCAGUGCCGCAGGGAAGCCGUUAAGUUUGCCGCCUGGGAAGU
rnacentral:rRNA from 1 species